CGCGCACCCCUGCCGGCAUGGAAGAGCGCGGCGAUUCCGCGCCGGACCCGGGCUGCAGCGGUCUGAGACCCGGCGGCGCUCUCGGCGGCGACGGCGCCCACCCAUGGGCCCCGGAGGACUCCUGGAUGGGCACGCACCCAAAGUAUUUAGAAAUGAUGGAAUUAGAUAUAGGAGAUGCUACCCAAGUCUAUAUAGCAUUCUUGGUGUACCUGGACCUCAUGGAGAGUAAAAGUUGGCAUGAGGUGAACUGUGUGGGGUUACCAGACCUCCAGCUCAUCUGCCUUGUCGGUACCGAGAUAGAAGGAGAAGGGCUGCAGACCGUGGUGCCGACAUCCGUCAGUGCUUCCCUCAGCCACAACAGUGUGACGUACCUUUUCCUGAUGACCCUGGGAUCCACCCAUGACUCUCGGCAUUCCAGUAGUAAUUUGAAUAUUUGAUAUCAGUGAAACGUGACAACCUGCAUUAUUCAAACAGGGACAUGUGUGUGACAUGAUCCUCACCACACCCAGGGCAGAACAUCCUCAGGACUGCUGACUCCAAAAUUCAGAGAGAAUGAAACCAGAUAGAAGAAAGCCGGAGGCACAGCCACAGGAGAGCGCAGCCUGCAGCAGACGCAGAACCAGGACACGGGACCACCUUGCAGGCCCCUCACCGCCCUGGGCAUGGACUGGCAGGUGCUGUCAUUCAUAUUUAAAGAGACAAUCCUCCUGCUUUUUAACACGCUUUACUAUAUGAAAGUCAGAUAGCAAAUUUCAGUGUUCAAAGUUCGAGACCUUAGCAGUUAUAAAGAAAGAGGUUUUCCAUCCCUUUGAAGGUGACGGAGCCUCUCCAACAAGUCCCCUCCCUUCCGUGGAAGCCAGCCUCCUUUUCACAUUCCGCAUCCUAUGCACUGCGUGAUCCCCUCACUGGGUAGCUCUUAAUGGUAUUGCCCAUUCCACACACAAUUCUAUGGAUACAGAAAGAGUUUAAGAAUUUGCAACCUGACUUUAUUUUUAAUAUUGGCUCUGUUUUCAUCCAAAAAUGUUCCUCCAAGCUUUAAAACCCUUCGGCCAUGUUUGAUAGCUCUCCCUCCUCCCUAGUCCAUUGAAUAAACUGGCUGCUAUCCAAGGCACAGCACUUCUGUCCUAGGCACGGGCACGGCUCUUUCAUACAUUAUGGCAUCUUCCCAGGAGAUAGGCAUUACCAUCAUCCCAUUCUGCAGGUGAAAAAACUGAUGCACCAAAAGGUGGUCACCUGACCAAGCUCAUAUGGCAAAACCAGGGCUCUCUGCCCUAGCCAUGGUACAUACUGCUUCUACAUCUGUCCAGCCAAUGUUUGCUCAUGGAAGACAGCACUUAAGAGAGUAGCCGACCCCUCCAAGGGGCCAAUGAAUGAACUCCAGUUCAUCAGCACUUCGCAUCUGCACUGAUUUUUUUUUUCUUUCUAGCACUUGUGGAAUUUGGGAACAUCUUACCCUGAUGUUCACCCUCCGAGGUACUUCCCUUCCCUAAAUCUCAGCAGCUCUCUAGUGUGGUGAGAUCCUGGCACUGUUGCCACAGUCUUGCAGCACCAGAGAAGCUUCUUGGCUCCAGUACGCUCUUCACGCUCCUGAGAGCUGCGCCCGAUGGGGCCGAUCUGUCACCGAGGCUAUAUUUAGCUCCAUCUGCCAGGAAUAUUUCAAACUGCCUAUUUUCGUCCAUGCCGUUUUGUGCAAAUGCAACUGCUCCACCGCUGGUUCGUGGGAAACCAAGGGCGGUCCUGACGAAGAGCAAUUUUUGUCACAUCACCCUAGGCUGAAGGCUGGAAGAGAGGGCUGCAAGCUCGCUAGACUUCAGUAAGGGGGGAACCAAGUCCUUGGGAAGCAGAGGGCGACGGACGGGUUUGAGUGGCACAGAGACUGGGAAUCAGAUCUGGGAGCAGUGCCAUAUCCCACCCGGUUCAGCUCUAGAACAAGCUCUCCUUAAACCGAGUGGCUUAAAACAAGAGCAAUUAUUUGUAUUAUUAUCUCCCAUGGUCUUGGUAGGUGGACUGGUGUGGUAGUUGUCACCAGGGUCUCUCCUAUAAUUGCGUUCAGAUGACAGCUGCGCCUCGAGUCAUCCUGAAGUUGUCCCCCCACAUCUGGAAGUUGGGCCUGGCUUCCAGCUGGGACCUCAGCCCAGGUGUGUGUCAGGACAGCCACAUCCGGCCCCUCUGCAUGGUUUGGGCGUCCCCACAUAAUGGGGGCUGUGUUCCCAGAGGGACAGACCAAGCGGAAUGAGGUAAGGUAAACACUCUAUUGCCUUGUAUGACCUAGUCUUAGAAGUCACAUAGUGUCACCGUGUAGUCCCAUCCGAGUUGCAGGCCAGCCCAGAUUCAGGAGGAGAGAACACAGGCGUACUCCUCAAGGAGAGUGGUAUCAACAGGGUGCAUUGCUCCGCUGUAGACAGCAAGGCCCUGGGACACCUAGGAAUCCCCUUCAUGCUGACACGUAGUAGGUGCUCAUAUAUGUAUUCAUCUGAGAUGACCACGAGGUGGUCAUGAUCUGGGCUGAGAACUAUUUUCACAGCUCAUUUAGAAUGAGAAAAGAGACCCUGGGGAAGGGCGUUUCUGGCAAUGCCCACCACCAGCCGCCCUGGUAAGGGGACAGGGUGCUUUGCAGCCUCCUCCUGCUGCCAGACUCCACGCCCUGCUGCAUAAGGCAGGCCAAAGCCAGUGAUUCAGAGAGCAGCAAAGCCACGGAGCCGCGUUCCAAGUUCGGAGUCAUUGAAGCAAAUGGUGAAGAUGACGAAAUUCAAAAGACAGAGACCUUUUCAGAAAAAGCCAGGGUAUGAAGCAGUGACAGCUUUGAAAGCCGGGCUUGGUUGGGAAUGACACAUUUUCCCCGCUCCCCUUGCACGAGGGCCUUGGUGAGUGGCUUUAAAAUGCCCUGUUAAGUUGCUGAAGGAGUGGCUGCCGGGUCAGCUCAGGCUGGGAGUUGCUGGGGACCGUCUGCAGCACCAGGGAAGCUUCCAUGUUCUUUCUGGCAGGGCAGGUCCUCGGGUCAGACAGAACACACAGGGCUCUCCACCUUCAUUUGUGUUUACUUUCCCCUCUCACUGUCCUUGCUCUUCCAAAACAACCGGGCCCUUGCCCCUCAUCCCACGGGAAACUGUCUUUCCUCCCAGACUGUUUCCAACUCCCCAUCGGGGCCCUUUUCCAGCCAUUGAAAGGGCCAACCCAUCUCUGGUUUGUGGCGGCCACUGAGCACCAGGCAGCCUGGCAUGCCCGGAGCUCUCUCUCCACCCACUUGCCUGAGGGGGAAGGGACAGGACUCGCCGUGCCUCGGAAGGUGUUCCCAUGCGCUUGCUAAAUUGCAAGAUUUUUAUAAAUGCCUGAGCCUCUUUCCAAAGGUGGGCAUCUUUCCAUACAUCCCUGAGAGGGGGGUUGGGGUGGGUGAGGGCGUGCUGGAUAUUGGAGUAGGUGCCCAGUGGGCAUCGCUGGAACCCCCACCACUGGGCAGGUUCAGUUCCGUCUUCACUGUGCAGACCAGGGGACCCACAUUCGGCCCACUCAGCCAGGACUUGGAGGCAAGGGCUUGAUUGUAGACCCCUGGUCCCAGCGUCCAAGUCCUUUUCACUUUGGCUGCUUUAGGGACAUCAGCUUCUCCCCACCCCCACCCUCACCCCGCAGAGGGAACAUAUUGUCCCCUUGUUCCUCCAAUGGCUGAUUCAUGGAGACGCUAAUAAAUUCAUGAUUUGUAAAGAGUUUUGUUCCUCAGCUCCACUCAGAUACGCUCCAGCUCAAAACACAGUGUUCAUUUGCAUCAGAUUUUCCAGGACACUUCCAAUUUCAUGCCACGCUCUGAUGUUUCAUUAAUUCAUUUAGUUACAUUUAUGACUAAGUAUGUUUUCAUUUUACACCAUUUUAACGCAUUGGUUGUACACAAAUUCAGAAACCAGAUUUUUUUUUGUCAGAUGCUAUGCUCUGGUGCUUGAAUCAGGAAAUGCAUCCCCUCUCUGAGGCGCACACCCUCUCUGAUGUAACAGGGUCGUGGGAAUCACUGUGCCUGAGUUCUUUUAUCAGCACUUGUUUUGGGGGAGAACGUUCUCUGUUCCAGCCGCUGGAAGAACCACUGUGUGACCCUCGUUGCAAGCACAGCCCCAAAUAUUCCAUCCUCCUCACCAAGCAGAUUCUGAAGCUCCUGGUCUCAGCACCCCCUCCCAUACUGAGUGUCAAUCUGGUAGCAGUUUCUGCCCUGAGGGUCCCCUCCCCAAAUGUGAUCCCAGGGAAACGUGAGGGGUGAGGCUGGGUGCUAUGUUUUGGCACUAAAGAGACAGCCCUGCCCCUCCCCAGUGGGCGGCUUCAGGCUGGCUGCCCCCCCCCCCAAGGAGGGGCCCCUGCUGGAGCCCUCUCCUUCCAAACCACUGAGUCAUUUCCUCUAGGGACUUCCUCAUUCUGCCCUCCUGUUUGCUUUCACUCUGGAGCUCGUUCUGACCUACCAUUUCCUUCCCCAUCCCCACUGAGCUGUAAUUAAUGGCCCAGCACCUUCCAGCCUCUCCCACUGAACUCUUCCUUCCCACUCUCUUCUCUUGGCUGCAGUCUCCACAUUUCGUACAUGUUUGUGCAAAGCCCUAGAGUUCUUGAAGCUGUGCGGGGGAUACUGCUCCUUUCCUGCAAGGCAUUGCUUGAAGGAUAAACUGGGAAGACGAGUGUCUACGAACUGGCACCAGGAAGAACCAGCUCCCCCAAGAGCUUGUCCUGGAUCAGCCCGACGGAGCAAGCUGAGCAUUGGGAACAGUAACCUUUGCCUAGUGCACUCUGAGCUGCUCACCCCAGAACAUCUGCUGCAUCCUCCGGAAGACAGCUGUGGUCUCCUCAAAGCCCUGGUUUGGCCUGUUGCAUGCAUAUCUGAGACCUGCUGACCUGGGACGGUGGUCUGUGUGGUCAGUAGCAAUAGGCUCCGUGGGGCAGAAGAGGCCAGAAGACACUGGGGCUUCCUGGUUCGUUGAUGGGGUGAAGGAAAGAAAGUACAGAAAGAGAAAAAAAGUGACCCUAGUUCUUCUUGCAGACUUACUUUGUUAGGGAGGCAGUUCUCUGUUCCUGGCACCUGGAGGACCAUGGGUAGUUCUCACUGUAGGCCCAGCCCCAGAAUAUUCCAGCCCCUUCUCCAGAUUCUCCAUCAAAGGAAAUGUCAUGGGCUGUACUAAGGACAGUGGCCUUGGUGCCAUGAGGGUAUUUGGAACAUGUUCGUAGAAGCAGUCAAAUUGAAGUUCAGAAAUUGAAUGUGACAAAAGAGAUGGCCGAUAAACUCAUCUGUUGUCUCAAAACCUUGCAUUGUCUGUUCACUUUAUUGUACCAUCUGUCAUUAUAAAAAAGCUUUUAAAGAUAUUUGUGGGGUGGUGGUCUUUGGCCACCGCUCAAAUGUUAGCAGCCCCCUGGCCCCAAUAAUGUGAGGCCCACAGGAUCAUGUGACUGCUGAUGUAGUGUUGCAGAAUUCCAAACCAAUGCCCUGCCACUUGGAAAACCUGCUUAUAACGGCUAAUCAUCACCAGUUGGGUGACUUCACCAGAAGGCAAGAAUUGCAUGGUUAUGGUCCUGGCUCCUUCCCUCCAAUUCAGAGGAACCCGGCCCCGGGCCUCCACAAGGCUCACCGGCCUCUCUGCUCACCACCUUGGUCUCCCCUCUGAGGACUUCUGCUUCCUUCUCUCCUUUCUUAGAUUUUCAACCUCUCCAUUCCCACUGGACUUUACCAUCUUGAGAGGAUCACCUUCUGAUGCUAAGUUAUCAGGAAACUUCGAAGUUUUCUUCUAGCUUACAAGCAAUUCAGGAUGUCCCUUAAUUACAUGGGAUGCCAACAGUGGGGGACCAAGUAGGAGAAUAUUAGAUCGAAGACCCCUGCCCUGUCACUAAUUGGGUGGUCUCCAGUAUGUUUCUUUACCUCCCCAAACCAGCAUUUACAGCCACAGAACCAUGAUAAUCAUCACUCCAGUGGUUAUGGGAGAACCAGGUCAGGUGAGGUAAAGUCAAUAAGAAUCGGUUCUAGAGUCAGAAAGACCAGAGUUCAAAAUCUAGGUUACCGGUGCUGUGAAAGAAACUAGACCAUCACUGGCCUCUGAGACUCGGUGUUCACCUGUAAAGUGAGGGAAGCAAUAGGAUUUCCCUCCCAAGUUAUUGUAAAGAUUAAAUGCUGAGAAGCACUACAUGCUGGCAGGGAACACACACGCAGUAAGUAGUGCGUUGUUACUCCUGCCAGCCCUCCUAGCUGCCAAGGUGGGCCGGGUCCCGCUCUGUGAGACCCACGGGUGGUGCCUGUGACCAGGAUGGGUGCUCACUCCCACGGUUACGGACCUUUCUUGCAUCUUGUGUCUUCUUCAGUAAAUGUCUCUAUUUUUCAUAGUGCAUGGCUGGCUACCUUCUGGACAGACUUCGCACUUUACAAAGCGUUCCCCCAAUAUUUCUAGUACUCGCCUGGCACCAUGCAUAGUUAUCACAGUGUUGCUAACUAUAUUCCCUAUGCUGUCCUUUACACCCGUGCGGCUGUUUUGCAACUACUAAUCUGUACUUCUU